rnacentral:lncRNA from 1 species
AGAUCCCGUCUAGGAAACCGCGGGGUGCGUGGUGCUGAGGCUGGUUGUGAAAGUCUCAGUUUCAACUGGGCGGAACUCAACCUCGCCCCUGGCGCGCUCGGCUCCUUUUGCAGCUGGGAGGAGUUGAGGCUGGAAGUUGGCAAUCCUCACUCACCUGUCGGAACCUGGAUCCGGACAGGUGAGCGGAGCCUGGAGAUCAGGGCACGCUGGUUACCGCAGCCUCGGCCUUCCCCGCGCCGGGACACCACGCCCAAAGGGUGUGGGGGCUGCUCCCCGAGACUCGAGACGCCCGGGCUCCGCUCCCCAGCUCCCUACUCCCCGCUCUUGCCCCCGGGCGCCAUCGACUUGGCCAGCUGGGACCUCUGCCUCCAACCCACGCCUUGCCAGCCGCCUGCCUGGGACAUCCCCGAGUCCAGGAGAUCCCGCUCCCCGACGCCCCAACUUUUCGCGAGCGGUCUGCGCUCCCAGACUGUCGAGCUCCUGUGCCAAGGGGCGUGCUGGUUUUCGGGGGCCGGCAACACUCUCUCCCUCGGCUCGCCUUCCACCUACCCCGGCGUGGGGCUGGGCGAGUCGGGAUCUGCGGUGCACUUGAGCGUUCCCAGAGCUCCGGAUCCGCUCCUGCCCCAGAGAUUCCCUUCCAGGGGGGAUUGGACGCAGGCGGUCCCGGCCUCUUACUCCGAAACUCGAGUCGACCCUGGUCUUUUCCCUCCAAACUCCGGUGCCGUCGCGGAUCGGCCGGCGGAGCGUCGGGGCGCUCGAGACUUCGUGGCCUGUCGGGGGCUGCGCGUACGAUGGCCGGCUGCUGCUGCCUGUCAGCGGAGGAGAAGGAGUCGCAGCGCAUCAGCGCCGAGAUCGAGCGGCAGCUUCGCCGGGACAAAAAGGACGCGCGCCGCGAGCUCAAGUUGCUGCUGCUGGGAAAAUGCCCAGCUAAUCAGAGAAGUGGAAGUAGACAAGGUGACCACGCUCUCCAGGGACCAGGUGGAGGCCAUCAAGCAGCUGUGGCAGGAUCCUGGAAUCCAGGAGUGCUACGAUCGCAGGCGGGAGUACCAACUGUCAGACUCUGCCAAAUAUUACCUGACGGACAUUGACCGGAUCGCCAUGCCAUCAUUCGUGCCAACACAGCAGGAUGUGCUUCGUGUCCGAGUGCCCACCACUGGCAUCAUUGAGUAUCCGUUUGACCUGGAAAACAUCAUCUUUCGGAUGGUGGAUGUUGGUGGCCAACGAUCGGAAAGACGGAAAUGGAUUCACUGCUUUGAGAGUGUCACCUCCAUUAUUUUUUUGGUUGCUCUGAGUGAAUAUGACCAGGUGCUGGCUGAGUGUGACAAUGAGAACCGCAUGGAAGAGAGUAAAGCCUUAUUUAAAACUAUCAUCACCUACCCCUGGUUUCUCAACUCAUCAGUGAUUCUGUUCUUAAACAAGAAGGAUCUUUUGGAAGAGAAAAUCAUGUACUCUCAUCUAAUUAGCUAUUUUCCAGAAUACACUGGACCAAAGCAAGACGUCAAAGCUGCCAGAGAUUUCAUCCUGAAGCUUUAUCAAGAUCAGAAUCCUGACAAAGAGAAAGUCAUCUAUUCCCACUUCACAUGUGCUACAGACACAGAGAAUAUCCGCUUUGUGUUUGCUGCUGUGAAAGACACAAUUCUACAACUAAACCUGAGGGAAUUCAACCUGGUUUAAAAGCUGCUGUGCACCCCUCACCUGGGCCAGAAAACCAGAUUUGUUUUAUUUGCAAGUGCUCUAACAUCACCCAGCUCAGCCCACUUGGUGGCGCCAAGUCCAUCAUGCAGCCACAGGGACAACGAUGGGUGAUGGAGCUUGUAAGAUGUUUGAAUUCAGCAAAACUUUUUCAAAGUCUUGCUUUUACAUUUCUUUUCUUAACUUUAAGCUGUAAGAUUUUUGUAUAAUUUUUGAAUUUGGUAUUCUACAAAAGUCUAAAAAGCCACUGUGAUUUAUGGUCUUUUUUUUUUUAAUUGAAGUGUGUGUGCUAAUAGCCAUUAGAAAAAUCACAUAACAGAGGAGCCUGUCAAUUUAUGGAUCCUGCUUUGAGACUUCUAGUAUUAGAUGGGUAACCUUUUUUUAAAAUUAGAUAUUGUCAUUGUUUUCCUCUCUUCAUGCUGAAGUAUUCAACAUGCAACCAAAGAUUUUUUUUUGAAGUUUGUUCUUCUUCAUGUUAACUUCCUAAGUCAAAUUAAUGAUUGUAUCAGU